UCGUUUUAAAAUCGGACAAUGCAUUACAGAGAUAUACGAGUUCAAAAAAUGAUUUUUCCGGAAAUUUUGAUUCCGCGUUUUUGGUUAAGAAAUUAGUAUCAAGUUCUUGGUUAAAUUAACUUGUACCUAAAAAUUAAUUGUUAAGUCGUACUGUAACACAUUCGGAUUUUUUUUUGUUAAGUCGUUCUUGAAAUCGGAAAGGUUUUUGUUAAGUCGUACGUAAAAUUAUUCGGUUUUUGUUAAGUCGUACCAGGAAUAAUUCGAUUUUUUCAUGUUUUUAUUUAAGGUACUCUUGUUAUUGGUUUAAGAGCUCUGCUUCUUACAGGAACUUCCAGCUUUACUUCCGACAUUAACGGAAGACCCACUCGUUGCUUUGCAACGAGCUUUGCUCUAGUUUAUUAUUAUUAUUCUUCUUGUUUUUCCUUCUGACUUCUUUUUUGCUUUAUAUCUCAAAAACUAUUCAACCGAUUUGCAAGAAAUUUUCAGGGAUUAUGUUAAAUAGUUGUCCCUUGACGACUUUAAACUUUCAGUCAUUAAGUCACUUCCGUUUUCUAGUUACGUCAUUUUUAAAAAUUUCAAAAAGUGAUUUUGUCCAGGACUUUUCUCGUAAACGGUUGUUUAUAAAGAAUUGAAAUUCUCUGUGAUUGUAAAUCUGCGGAUUUACUUAUGGCAAAUUUACAAAAAAUAUUAUUUUGUCACUUCCGGUCGAAACCGGAAGUGAUUCUAAUUUUUCGGAAUUUUCAUUUUUUUAAGCGAAUAAUAAAAUUAUAUGCAUGUUGUAGAGUUUGUAAAGCUAAAUGCAAAACUGAAAUUCGUUUUCAAAUCGGAUGAUGCAUUUCAGAGAUAUCGGGGUUUAAAAAUUGAUCUUUCCGGAAAUUUAGAUUCCGUGUUGUUGGUUUUAAAAAUAGUGCAAAUUUCAAACUGAAAGUAAUUUCUACUGAAAACAAUUCGUACUUAUAAUUAAACUAUAUAUAAAACACAAAAUUAUAGGCAUUUUGUAGAGUUUGCAAAGCUUAAUACAAAACUGAAAUUCGUUUUCAAAUUGGAUGAUGCAUUGCAGAGAUAUCGGGGUUUAAAUAUUGAUUUUUCCGGAAAUUUUGAUUCCGUGUUCUUGGUUUAAAAAAUAGUGUAAAAUUCACACUGAAAGUAACUCUUGCUGAAAACAAUUCGUGCAGGUCAUAAAACCGGACUCUGUUUUUUAAUAGUUAUUUAAAGUGUUUAUCGAUACAAUUUCGUUAUUUCGAUCGAUAAUUACGUUGUAAGUUUUUAUUAGUCUUAUUAGUUUUAAUCGAAAUAAUUAUUGUACGAUUCCCCAUUUCAACUCGCCAUGUUUUGACUGCGAACAAACAGCUGAUAGCGGUGUGUCCACAUUUUUAAAAGAAGCAAGGCCUGCAAUACGUCGAUAGUGGAAAUUUCAGCUCAACUAACGUAUGACAUAUUAUAAAGCUUAAAGCAGACUCUUGUUACCACAUGGCUUUUACCUGUUGAUUCUUGUGGUUUCAGCUCUUGAGGUUAACCUGUCACCUCUACCCACAUGCAUAUUCCUUGCGUUCCAAAGACUAUCUACCGGUAAUUCAAAUUAAAUCGGAUAAUGCAUGAACAAUAAUGGAACUUUAAGAAAGCAUCAUGCCCUAUUGUGGUUUGUUCAUGUUUGAUAAGAAAUUAUGAAAAACAAAAUUAAGGCUGUUUAAAGAAAUAUAAUUGUUGUGAAAAUUUGUUUUUCAAUAAAAGUAUGCAAUUAUG